rnacentral:rRNA from 1 species
AUUGAACGCUAGCGGGAUGCCUUACACAUGCAAGUCGAACGGAGUUGCGAACGGGUGAGGAAUGUACCGGAACGUGCCCAGUAUCGGGGGAUAACUCCGCGAAAGCGUAGCUAAUACCGCAUACUAUUGGAGCGGCUGAUCUCGGAUUAGCUAGUUGGUGGGGUAACGGCUCACCAAUGCGACGAUCCGUAGCUGGUUUGAGAGGACGACCAGCCAAACUGGGACUGAGACACGGCCCAAACUCCUACGGGAGGCAGCGGUGGGGAAUUUUGGACAAUGGGGAAAACCCUGAUCCAGCCAUCCCGCGUGAGCGAUGAAGGCCUUCGGGUUGUAAAGCACUUUUGGCAGGAAAGCGGUACCUGCAGAAUAAGCACCGGCUAACUACGUGCCAGCAGCCGCGGUAAUAC